rnacentral:snRNA from 1 species
GGAGAUUCUGCUUCGUUCCUCUCU